AGCGAACGCUGGCGGCAGGCCUAACACAUGCAAGUCGAACGGACCCUUCGGGGUUAGUGGCGGACGGGUGAGUAACACGUGGGAACGUGCCCUUUGGUUCGGAACAACUCAGGGAAACUUGAGCUAAUACCGAAUGUGCCCUUCGGGGGAAAGAUUUAUCGCCAUUGGAGCGGCCCGCGUCUGAUUAGCUAGUUGGUGAGGUAAAGGCUCACCAAGGCGACGAUCAGUAGCUGGUCUGAGAGGAUGAUCAGCCACAUUGGGACUGAGACACGGCCCAAACUCCUGCGGGAGGCAGCAGUGGGGAAUCUUGCGCAAUGGGCGAAAGCCUGACGCAGCCAUGCCGCGUGAAUGAUGAAGGUCUUAGGAUUGUAAAAUUCUUUCACCGGGGACGAUAAUGACGGUACCCGGAGAAGAAGCCCCGGCUAACUUCGUGCCAGCCGCCGCGGUAAAAC
rnacentral:rRNA from 1 species